rnacentral:rRNA from 1 species
UACGUAGGGGGCAAGCGUUGUCCGGAAUCAUUGGGCGUAAAGAGCGCGUAGGCGGCCCUGUAAGUCCGCUGUGAAAGUCAAGGGCUCAACCCUUGAAUGCCGGUGGAUACUGCAGGGCUAGAGUCCGGAAGAGGCGAGUGGAAUUCCUGGUGUAGCGGUGAAAUGCGCAGAUAUCCGGAGGAACACCGGUGGCGAAGGCGGCUUCCUGGACCGACACUGACGCUGAGGCGCGAAAGCUAGGGGAGCAAACGGG